UUUUACUUGCUAUCUUAUUCUAAGGUUAUAUUUCUGAUUUAAUCUGUGGUUACAGGUUCUGGUUGCAGUUUUGUUCUGUAGUUACAGGUUCAGGUUGCACCCUUCUUCUAUGGUUAAAGAUUACAGUUGCGGCCUUGUUCUUUGGCCAUAGGUUCCAGUUUUGGCCGCCUUCUAUGGGUAUAAGUUUCUUUUAAGGUUUGAUCUAGAGACAGUUGUUUAAUCAACAGCAGGAUUGUAAUAUUGUGUUUUCAUUUAAUAUUUCAGACAAAUAGCACACCGCAUUGACCCAGGACCUUGGACUGAGAAGAUGGGCAGACAUUUAGAAAGUGACAUACCGUUGAUCCACCAUUGGUAGUGCAUCCUACUGAUGGAGAGGUUUCAGAUAGAGGGAGGAUACUCCGUGGUAAUGAGCCUUCCAAGUGGCUAGAUAGAUUUCAGGAAAAGUCAUCUUUCCGAGUACCUGUGUACCUGGAGUCUGACGAACAACAGGAUGCCCUUUUCUCAUAUAUUCAGAGAUUUCUGAGAACUGUACAAACAGCAUUCCCUAUUAGAGAUUGUGUGCAGUUCAUUCUGGAUGUCUUAUUCCCUGAGUCCAUCAUCCAUGCCCUGGCUGCUCUACAGGGUGUAUCAGGACAGGAGGCAGACGACUUAUUUCUUGAUGGCCCAGAAUACAGUAUCAGUGACGUGGAAGAAUUUAACUGAAAGAUACGGCAGCAAUUAAAGAAGGAGGGAAUGCUGUGAUAUCUGUUGGAAUAGAAGAUGAUGCUAUUGCCCAGUGCUUCCAGGAUCCUUCAUUUGAGUCUUGGGUCUGAAUCUACUGCGUCAUUGCCAAGUAUUAUGAGUCUUGUGCAACUGACAGGGGUGCUGAAGAUUUCUGAAGACCCUCUUGAAAUGGAGUUGCAAUUGGAUUAAUGCUACAACAAUAUCCUUGCUGAGAAUGUCCACAGGGCCCUGGGGAGUCUGUGACCAUGUGACCCUGAGAAGUUGUUUUGUCAAAAAUCCUGACCAACUAGACCUUUUUGUGUUCUUCUUCAACAGGGCCAUCUGACCAUUAGAUAUAUUUAAAGAGAAGGACCUUUCAAUUUUC